CGAAGGGGGCUAGCGUUGCUCGGAAUUACUGGGCGUAAAGGGCGCGUAGGCGGAUAGUUUAGUCAGAGGUAAAAGCCCAGGGCUCAACCUUGGAACUGCCUUUGAUACUGGCUAUCUUGAGUUCGGGAGAGGUGAGUGGAAUGCCGAGUGUAGAGGUGAAAUUCGUAGAUAUUCGGCGGAACACCAGUGGCGAAGGCGACUCACUGGCCCGAUACUGACGCUGAGGCGCGAAAGCGUGGGGAGCAAACAGGAUUAGAUACCCUGGUAGUCCACGCUGUAAACGAUGAGUGCUAGUUGUCGGCAUGCAUGCAUGUCGGUGACGCAGCUAACGCAUUAAGCACUCCGCCUGGGGAGUACGGUCGCAAGAUUA
rnacentral:rRNA from 1 species